UUGCAAGUUUGAACAAGCAAAUAAUAUAUCAUAUAUCCACACGGUCCUGAUUGUUUUUGUUGAAAAUAAACUUUACUUUUGUUGCCGUGGUAAGCUUGAUAAGUUUCAUUAUUGACGUUCGACGCCAGAUAAUUUUGUUUUAGUUCAUUUUAAUUUCGAUUAUUUAAAAAUUUUUUCUGCUUGGGGACGUUUGAAAAACUUCGUCAUUAAAUAUGUUUGACUUAAUUAGACAAUUAAAACAUCUGACCGCAACAAUUCAGUUUCGGAAAUAUCCGAGAGCCAAGGCCUCGCGCUUUUCUCACCCUAUCAGGUCAUUGUUAUUUGCCAAGAAAACUGAAUCUGGACUGCUUAAGGCGGCGGAGUCAAAGUGUGACGUCAUUGUUCUCGACAUGGAAGACGCCGUUCCCAUUUCCGAGAAAUCACACAUUCGAAAAACUUACGAGAAUGCUAUUUCGAAAGGACUUUUCAAAUCGCGUCCGCUUUUAGUGCGCAUUAAUGCAAUCGAAGAUCACACUGAAAUGAUUAAAGACGUGGAAUCAUUUUCAGUUGAUCAAGUUAGUGGAUUUGUUUUGCCGAAAAUCAGUUGCAAGCAAGACGUUUUUCAUGUGGAAGAAGUUAUGAAUUCAUAUCAUAAAAGAGGGCAAACAACAAAGAGGUUGGUGCCGAUAAUCGAGUGUAGUAUGGCAUAUUUAAACGCAGCUGAAAUUGCAAAAAGUUCUGGAAAAAUUGCCGCUUUGUGGCUCGGAAAUUACGACAUGAGUUUAAGCUGUAACACUACAAUAACGCUCGGAAAAGCCGAUUCACUUGUCGACGAAGCCGCUGUUUCACAGGUAGUCAUCGUAUCGCGUGCUUAUGGCAUAGCUCCAAUCGCAGGAGCGGUUACUUCGUCAGACUUGUCAACUUCCGAAAAAUUCUACCAUAAAAUGAAAAAUGCCGGAUUCUCGGGUGCAACUGCUGUGAAUGUGCCUCAAGCUAUACAAGCUAAUCGUAUAUUUUCUUCAGAUUCAAAAGACCUAAAAUGGGCUCGCGAACUUGUGGAACCGAAUCGGUCUGGACUUGGAAUUUAUUCACGUUCCGAGCAGCACGAACGAUUUAUGAUUGGCCCACCGCAUAUAAAAAUGGCAUUCAAUAUGUUAGAAAAAGAACAAAGCAAAGUCAUGAAAAAAUCUGGCUCACCAAUCUGUACGGAAAACGAAACCCUUAAGGGUCAAAUACUGGGCACCGGGCUCAAACAUGAAUUCAAGAUUGGUUCAGUAAUUGAGAGCAACUCUGAAGUUACCAUCAGUGAAUCUUGGUUGACAGCUUGGCACAGUAGCUUUCUAUCGUUUAACCCAAUGUACACCAGUCAAAAUUGGGCGGAAAAAUUUGGGUUUGAAAGUCAAAUGGUACCAUUGAUGCUGCUUAAAACAUUGUCUUUAUCUUUGCUCGUCUCAAAAUUCAGUGAAAAGGCCCGAGUUCAUCUGGGAUGCUAUAAUGCGCAACAGUUGAAACCAGUUUUUGUCGGCGAUUCGUUACGAGCCUUGUGUACAAUUAUAGACGCCAAAAUUGUUACGAGCGCAAGCAGCACUUAUACGGUGCUUAGCUCUGAACAUUGUGUUCUGAAUCAAAGAGACGAAGAAGUUUUCACUCUUGAAAAGCGCACUAUGUUCAAGCCAUUAACUUUUUCGGAUCAAAUCUUGAAAAAAACUUCUGGUCUGCAAAACGUCCGAAACGAAAAUCGAAAAACACAUCUGCAAUCUUUUCAGGAUUUAAUUUUCAACAAAGUACACAACGCCAAAGACAUUUUUGUCAAAACCAAACCUGAAAACUUUGAACUGCGUCCAGGUCAACUUAUAUUUCACGACUACGCCAGACCUCUUGGACCUUGUGAAGUUCGAAAUUUGUGCACACUGAUGAAAAUUACAAAUCCACAUCAUCACAACGUGCAAAGAUAUUCCGAACGGGAAAUUUUAGUGCCAGGUCCUUUUGUAAUAGCGGCAACUACUAGCAAUUCAGACAAAGAUUUAGGGUUAAUAGUUCACGAAAUCAUUAGCGAGAGUUCGAACAUUAACAAAGUGAACAUCGGCGACCAAAUCUCCACUGUCUCUUACAUUUCUGCAAUUGAACUUUUCAAAAAAGAUGACACUGUGUUUGAAAAAUUAGACUUGGUGCAACUUGGCAUCAAAAAUUUAGAUCUCGAAGACAUUGAAGAACUUCCGAUUCCAAAAGAGAUGUUCGGAAAAUCUCCAAAGAAGCCAAAAGAGUACGAGAAAAUGUGCCUUGAAGAGUGUGACCAGCUUAUGGGUAAAAUAGCUUGUAAAAUUAACAGAACAAUAUGGCGUGUGAUUUCUUGAAAAUAUCUGAAUAUUCACAUAAAAGUGCUAUCAACUGUCUGA